rnacentral:tRNA from 3 species
AGGAGAAUAGUUUAAAUAGAACAUUGGGUUUGCAUCCUAAAAGAGGGAUGUUCCUUCUCUCA